CAAUGUCCAUUUUCCCUAAAAGAAUUCAGAGCCAGGAUCCUUGAGACAAGGGGACUCCCCAGAAGCAAGAGGGAAUGUGGCUGCAGAUGAAGCAGCCCGGGAGGCUGCCCUAAAACCAAUGGGGCCUCUACAUAUUCUAGUGACUCUCCCAAACCCUGACCUACCCACCUCACCAGCUUACA